rnacentral:rRNA from 1 species
GGAAUAUUGGACAAUGGGCGCAAGCCUGAUCCAGCCAUGCCGCGUGUGUGAAGAAGGCCUUCGGGUUGUAAAGCACUUUUGUUGGGAAAGAAAAGAAGUCGGUUAAUACCCGAUUGUUCUGACGGUAACCAAAGAAUAAGCACCGGCUAACUGCGUGCCAGCAGCCGCGGUAAUACGAAGGGUGCAAGCGUUACUCGGAAUUACUGGGCGUAAAGCGUGCGUAGGUGGUUUGUUAAGUCUGAUGUGAAAGCCCUGGGCUCAACCUGGGAAUUGCAUUGGAUACUGGCAGGCUAGAGUGCGGUAGAGGAUGGCGGAAUUCCCGGUGUAGCAGUGAAAUGCGUAGAGAUCGGGAGGAACAUCCGUGGCGAAGGCGGCCAUCUGGACCAGCACUGACACUGAGGCACGAAAGCGUGGGGAGCAAAC